rnacentral:rRNA from 1 species
GAUAACGGCGUCGAGCGGCGGACGGGUGAGUAAUGCCUAGGAAAUUGCCCUGAUGUGGGGGAUAACCAUUGGAAACGAUGGCUAAUACCGCAUGAUGCCUACGGGCCAAAGAGGGGGACCUUCGGGCCUCUCGCGUCAGGAUAUGCCUAGGUGGGAUUAGCUAGUUGGUGAGGUAAGGGCUCACCAAGGCGACGAUCCCUAGCUGGUCUGAGAGGAUGAUCAGCCACACUGGAACUGAGACACGGUCCAGACUCCUACGGGAGGCAGCAGUGGGGAAUAUUGCACAAUGGGCGCAAGCCUGAUGCA